rnacentral:rRNA from 1 species
GACGAACGCUGGCGGCGUGCCUAACACAUGCAAGUCGAACGAAGCAUUUAAGUGAAUCCCUUCGGGGUGAAGCUUUUAUGACUUAGUGGCGGACGGGUGAGUAACGCGUGAGUAACCUGCCUUUCAGAGGGGGACAACAGUUGGAAACGACUGCUAAUACCGCAUAACACAUUUUAGGGGCAUCCCUUUAAUGUCAAAGAUUUAUCGCUGAAAGAUGGGCUCGCGUCUGAUUAGCUAGUUGGUGGGGUAACGGCCUACCAAGGCGACGAUCAGUAGCCGGACUGAGAGGUUGAUCGGCCACAUUGGGACUGAGAUACGGCCCAGACUCCUACGGGAGGCAGCAGUGGGGAAUAUUGCACAAUGGGGGAAACCCUGAUGCAGCGACGCCGCGUGGAGGAAGAAGGUCUUCGGAUUGUAAACUCCUGUUGUCAAGGACGAGUAAUGACGGUACUUGACAAGAAAGCCACGGCUAACUACGUGCCAG